AAGGCGCUCUUGCAAACUACCCGAUGCCAGGAACCCUGAAGGUGCCCCUUUCCUCCUUCCCCUCCUCGUCGCCUCUCCUUGCUCCGCCGCCAUCAGAUCUCCUCUUCCCCAAUUCUCCCCCUGUUUCGGCUCGUUGUCCAGACGAUGGGGGCUCAAAUCCCAUGCCAUGGGCCGACUGAGGAAGGUGGAGAGGAGGCGACAUCGUCCAACGCGAUGGUAACGACGUUCGAGCGGCCAUCCUCCUAUCCCCUACCCAGCAGCGCUGGUGGUGUGGACCGAGGCUGCGGUAGGAGGAGGAGCACUCACACCUGGAAAUAGCUACCUCGUGGUGGCUUGCUCACGGGGGCGCGGCGGGUCCAGUGCUAGGUGGAGGAUGAGGAGGAGUGUGGCCUCGCCUAGAGUUGAUGAGUAGGAGCACCCGUCUUGGAGGUUGUCUCCGACGCACGCGUGCAGGUAUUCGUGCAGGAGAAGGAGAGCAUGGUUGCAGAUGUCAGUGCAUCGAGAGCCAUAGCCAAUGGUGGCGAGGCGGAGCAUGGAAGUGGCACAUUCAUGGCAGUUGAGCCCUCUCUCUCUCUCGGGUGCUCUCGCAUGCGCUGCCCUUCCAUUGCCGAUGUAGUCCGGACCAAGAAUCAGGGCAAGGGCGUGGACAGGCGGCGGUUCUCUUACCAGCGGCGUGUGGUGGUGGACGCAGGCUUAGGGAUGAACGGGUGUAGCGCUGCGAUGGACGGAGCGACACCGGCCACACCGAGCUAGACGACACGGGCCGAGCUAGACGGCACGAGGCGACAUCGACACCUGACAUCCAUGUUGCCCUGCAUCGUCUCAUUGGAUCCCAGAUGGCGGUGUGGUUUUGAAAAGUCUUGUCUCGCUUGAUAUGCUUGGAAGUUUUUAAUUGUUAUGGAAAACCUAUUGAUAAUGGUCCCCCAAUUUUGCCAGAGGCCUACAUGGACAUCACUGGCUAAAAAGACCUUGGCUAACUAAUUGCUCUUUCAGUCUGGAAAUUCAUAUAUGAUGCUCACAAAUUGUAGAUUUCGUCAAGGCUGCUCACAUAUUCAGUAUGCAAUUACCACCGAUGCGUGAACUGGAAUUCAAAAUACUAUUCAAAACUGGUAGCUGUGAACCGGAAUUCCAGGCCAUUACCUGGUACCUCAGCCUGUGGCAUGAAACGAGGGAUGAAUAAAUUUUGCAAGAGUGCAUGGACCAGAGUCCUACCGGAAGCACCCACUAAUGCAUCCAUGGUUAGUUAUCACCCAAUCUCGAUUAUCCAGAAAUCUAAUAUGACAGAUGUGUAGCCUCUUUCUGAUAUGGAGCUAGGAAGUAGGCAAUGGCUAAUUUUUGUUCGCAUUUCGUGGGCGUGGUUGAUGAUGCAUACGGAUUUAGUGGUUCUACGAGUUGUGGCUAGCUGUGUCCGGUCAAGGUAUCAGCGGAGUCAGUGGGUGGAAAAGACUGCGAUGAAGUGUGAGGCAGCAGCAGUGUUGGUGGUAACUUGGUCUUGCAGAACGCACAUACUCUUCCGUGAUCCGCUGCAACUUGAAGUGCGGUGUAGUCAUGCUAGACCACAAUGCUGCAAUUAUAUCUCUGAUUUAAGCACCACCAAGGUCAGCUCCAACAAGCUUAAUGUUCAUUUUAUCUUGGCAACAGUGAAUCACAAAGGUGAUGUCAUAACCCAUGCCAUCAGCACCACCAGCCGCAUUGUGCUGCCAAAAUAAAGUAAUUUGGCAGCACCUCUUUUUGCAAAGAACAUGUUUUCACUUGUCUCUUUGGUACCAUCCCUUUAUUGCUAUUAGAACUAGCUUUGUUGCUAUGUUUUUUAUUUUAGAUGUUUAAUAGGGAUGAUUUAAUAUUGUGAUGCUCGACAAAUUAUGAGUUUUACAUUACAGAAGUGUUGCGGCUCUUAAAAGUAGAGUAUGUCAGUAGUACAACUGUAUCCAUCACAGUAGGAACUUUGAGAGGUAUAUAUUAGCAAUAACAUGAGCUCUUAUAGGUUUUUGUUGCUUCUGAUCAGAUGAAUGGUAUAAUAACCAACUUAGUUCGAAUCAAGGUUGCUAUCUUGCUUAUCUCUUACCAGAUUAGCUACCAGUGCUUUUUUAUUUCUAUUUUUAAGUCGCUUGGCAUGUGCAAGAUGAUUGCUAUGAUUAAUUCUUAGUCCCAUGCUUAUAGAAAUGUAUGUCAUUUCAACAUAACAUCGUGAUGGUGUCAUAUCUACCAUAUUUUUGCCCUAGGUUAGCUGUGUUUCUACAUUCAAAUAAAAGAACAGCUGAAACCUGAAGGAAAUAAAUAAUGCUUAUAGAAAUUUAUGUCAUUUCAACAUAACAUCGAGAUUGUGUCAUAUCUAACAUAUUUUUUUCCCUGGAUUAGCUGUGUUUCUACAUUCAAAUAAAAGAACAGCUGAAACCUAAGGAAAUAAAUAAUAGAUUGAACCUCAUUGUCCUAGGUUAGUUGUAUGGUUGGUGCCAUGGUUGUCCAAGAACCGGGUAUUUACUUAGUUUCCUCCUAAUAUUUGACCCUCAUUUGUGGAUAUUAUAUUCUCUAUCUGGCAAUGUAAUUGGACUUUAUGUAUCAGUUUUUAUGACUUGUGUACAUCACCUCUGUUGUUCCAGCUUUCUUGAUUCUUUCAGGCCCAGCUGCCGACCUUGUUUUCUGUGUGGGCACCUUUUGUCAUUGUACACCAGAAGCGCCAUUAGCUCGAUCUAUGCUUAUUAGUUCAAGCAUCGUUUCAACCUUGUAUGUAAAGUGAACUUGUGUAACCAUUGUUACUG